CUCACUCAUGCACAAGGAUAUGAGUACUGAGAAUAAGAAUUCCAAGAGAGACGCUGUGUCUGCAGGGGCUGAUAGAUUGAUGGAAUUGCUGUACUGUGGAGAGACUAGAAUGGUCCAGGGCCAGAGACUAAUUAGACUCUAAUUAGACCUUAUCCAGCGUUAGCCACCAGGACUGCAUUUCCUUACCCACCUCUCUGUCGAAACUAACAGCCUGCGACUAAGACCAUGUGUGUGCCAGUGCCCGCAGAGUCUGAAGCGGGCAUCAGAUUCCUGGGGACUGGAGUUAGAGAGGCUUGUGUGUUGUCGUAUGGGUGCUAGAAACCUAACCCAGGUUCUCUGAAAGAGCAGCAAGUGCUCUGCGCCGCUGAGUCGUCUCUCCCGCCCUCCUCCUGGCAUUUCCUGCCCACAUUUCCUGAUUCCGGCCUGACUGAAGCAGACACUUCUCUGUUGGACAAAGCCGUUUCCUCACAGCACUUGCUACAGUUGCAGUCUCCUGAAGAGAGAGAGCCACACACAAGGGUGAGAGCAUCACCUCCACCUACUUCAGUUGACUUUUACAAAUCAUCGUUUUUGAGAAGACUGGAACUCAGUGAUGUGUACCUUAGUGGAUGUCUGCUCAGCUCUACUUGCAGACAUGUUAAUCGUUUAGGGAUUGUUUCUCUGAAAUUGGCAUUACAAGAUUGAUUACCCCUCCUCCUCCCCUCCUCCACCUUCCGGGGCUGGAAAUGGCUCAGUGGUUAGGACCACUGCCCUUCCAGAGGUUUAGGGUUAGGCUCGAAACAGCCUACAAUUCCACCUUCAAGGGAUAUGACUCGUUUCUCUGGUCUCUGUGGGCAGAUGUGAGCACGCACACAUGCACACACAUAAAUGAACUAAAAAAAUUUUUUUUAAAGAUACUAUUGUCUUAGAUGACUCUCCUCCUGCAGCAGACUGUGCCUCCCCCCGCCCCCCCCCCUUGCAGCCCAGUGGCUUCUCUCUUCCUGCAGGGUUUCGUUUUCUCUUGGCCCAGUUUGACACUCAGAUUAAAGGGGAUAUAGGCCAGCUAAUUUUAUAUUCUGUUACCAGAAGUCAGAAAUUCGCCUCUGUGGUUCUGUGGUCUUCCGGGCUGAACUUUCUAAUUGCUCUGGUGAUGCGGAUGAACUGCCGCUCUUACACCUCACGCGGGGCCUAAGUGGAAUUUGCCCUCCACCAUCUCGGUGCUCUCGGUGCGACUACCUCAGUGGUGUCUAGAGUUCUUCAGGCAUCAACCCUUUCCUUCUAAGCCCUCCUCCCCAACCUAAGCACUCUGCAGCAGAUACCUGCCAGCCCCUUCUUCCCGCAUGCACCAUGCAUGCCAUUUCUAGUAACUGUGGCACUCAUCACCUUGCUGCCAGCCCCUUCUUCCCACAUGCACCAUUUCUAGUAACCGUGGUGCUCACCACCUUUCAGACACCCGGUGUCAGGUACUUGGAUUCUCCUCUUUUGUGUCGCUGUAAAGAAAAGGACCGGGUGUGGUGAUGCAUCUUUAAUCCCAGCAUCCAGAAGGCAGAGCGGAAUCGCACUGCAGUCCGUGAGAGUGGACAGUAACCAAGGUACACAGCCAGGAAGUGGCAGAACAAGCCCAGAGUCCCUUCUUUCUGGACACCACCACCCACUUGCCCUCUGUCGUCCUCACGGGCAGAAUCAGCAAUGUCGCGCACUCCCUCUUGAUGUGAGCUCCUUGGGCCUGCUCUGGCGAGCAAGUGGCAAAUGAACUCAUGAAUGACACGGAUGAUAUGGAACUUAAUGAGCUCCGCAAGAAGUUCCGUGGAUCACAGGGUCUCAUGGGGGAUAAAUAAUGCCAACCUUCUCACAUGUGGAGAAGCCUGUUCUUGUGAGGUGUCCCAUGGAGCUGGACUUGGGGUCUGUUCUCCCCAGCUGCCCGGCCUGUCUGCCAGCCCAGGCCUAUUGCCAGCACCAAGACCGACUUUGGAGCCCUCCGCUGGGGGCUCUGGCUGUGUGAGCAGCAUCUGGAUUUGAUGUGCUGAUUUCCAGCAAGAGACAAAGCAGACUCCCAAAGAGCAUAACUUUGGCCCAAAUAGGGCUUGUCUGCAAGACGAAGAUGAGUGUAGCGUCACCGUUUCCUUCACCCCCACUUCCAAAAGCUAAAGCAGACUUUCUAAGAGCAAACGGCUUUAAUAUUCCGAAGUUGCUUUCCUUGGUCUGUGGUACGCAAAAGUCAAAGUGCUCCAAAGCGCUCCUGAAUGGCAGAUAGCGUACCUGGUCCAGCAGAGGCAGCGACACUCCUGGCAGGUUUCUACCUCCUACCUGCACUCUGUCAUCUUUAUAUCCUGCCGUCUGCCCCAGGCUCAUUCUAGAACUGCCGUCCCACCUGGUUUGGGUUCGAAUAGAAAGAAAGAAUUUGAUUUCCUGGUGACAGUUCCUUAUGGCAAAGUGUAAAGGACUGUAUCCUGAGCAUUUAUGGAGCACUCGAGUCUUUGAAGAUUUGAAAGUCUUUCAUGACUGCAAGUCAGGAACAAGUCGGACUGAUGAUUCACGGAUCCUGUAUUGCUGGUUGCCGGGGCAACUAAGCCCUGCUUUGCUAUGCCUCAAUGUGGCUAGACCGGGUGCUCCAAUCAGAGCGCGUGCCACAGUCCCACUUUAUGUCACAAAGCCUUGAAGACAAAAACAGGAAUUUAGUUCUGCAUGGUGGAGUCUGCUUCAUGAAGCCGGCUCCUGCCACGGCCCCCAGUCCUCUCGGGAUGGCAUUCACUGCAGCUGUUAUUUUGGGCCUCGUCGCAGAGACUUGCUAUUCGCACAAGAGUUCCUCAGAUGAGUUAGCUCCAGAGAUGACUGAAGCGUGUUCCUUAGUCAUCAGCCGCUGUGUGUUCUCCUUUCUACCCUUCACAGACUCUCCCUCCCCCUCCCCCGCACCCAGGAUGCUUUCCUGGUUUGUAGAUUUGAUCGACUGAUUGAUCUUUCCCAGAAUGCCCAAUAAUUCAUUCUUGACUUCUCUCAAUGCUCCUUUAUCUGAAUGAUAAAUGGGGAUCACAGACUGAUACCCACUACCGAAUCUGGCCAUUUUAAAUGGGUUUGGGCUGUAAAUUCAGGUUGUUUACAAUAGACAGUCCUUUGCUCCUUUUUCUUCCUUCCUUCCUCCCUCCCUC